AAACAUGUCCUUUAGUUUUUAUUUAAGGUCUGGCCUGCUCAAUGAUUUUUUAAAUAGCCGCAGUAUUUUAACUGUGCUAAGGUAGCAUAAUAAUUAGUCUUUUAAUUGAGGUCUGGAAUGAAUGGUUGGACGAAAAAAACACUUUAUUGAUUUAAUUUUGUUGAAUUUAUUUUUAUAGUCAAAAUUCUAUAAUGUUUAAGAGGGACGAUAAGACCCUAUAGAUCUUUAUAACUUUAGUUUUUUUAGUAUUUUUUGUUGUUUUAUUUUUUUAUAAUUAAAUUUAUUUUGUUGGGGUGACAGCUAAAAAUUUUAACUUUAGUUUUUUUUUACAUUCAUAAAUGUUUAUUUUGAUCCUUAUUUUUGGAUUUUAAGAUUUAGAUACCUUAGGGAUAACAGCGUUAUAAAUUUGGAGAGUUCAAAUCGAUAAAUUUGUUUGCGACCUCGAUGUUGGAUUAAAGUUAAUCUAUGGGGUAGGUUUUAUGGAAUUAGGUCUGUUCGACCUUUAAAACU
rnacentral:rRNA from 1 species